rnacentral:rRNA from 3 species
UUAAUUGAAGAGUUUGAUCAUGGCUCAGAUUGAACGCUGGCGGCAGGCCUAACACAUGCAAGUCGAGCGGCAGCACAGAGGAACUUGUUCCUUGGGUGGCGAGCGGCGGACGGGUGAGUAAUGCCUGGGAAAUUGCCCGGUAGA